rnacentral:lncRNA from 1 species
AUCCUCAAACAUCCCUCCUCUGUGAAGCCUUCUGGGACCCUAUAGCUUCCACUUCCAGAGGAUUAGCCCUCACCUGAGUGCUUGUUUCUUACUGUAAUAGUUGGCUCACAUAUUUAUGCCUCCAUCUCUCCCUACCCUGCUAGAGUCUGAGCACCUUAGGAGCACAAUCCUGGGCUUGGUAUCCCUGGCUUCUUGGUGGGCUUUAUUAUUAGGGGAAAGGGAGGAAGAGAUGCAGAGAUCUGCCAGCCUCUGUAUGCAACGAAAACUCUUGGGUCCAAAGGGUCUGGCCUGAGUUGACACUGGCAGACACAGCUGCUAAAAUGGCCCCGCCCUCCAAACAUGGGCGUUUGCUGUCUCCUCCUUUCUUACUUCUCUUUCUGUCCUCUCAUUUCUUCCUCUCUGCUCUCUCCCUUUCCUUUCUCCCCCUCUUUCAUUCACUUUCCUCUCCUCCCUUCUUCUCAUUGCUAUUUCACUUUAACACGAAUCCCAUGUUACACUAACAACAUUAGAGCAGUGAGUGGGAAUCAGCAGUAAUAACGGUGCACCAACAAUUCUGCUACUACAACAAAUCAGAUUUUCAUUUAUCUAGAUUCCCUUCCCAUCUUUGAAUGCCCAUGUAAUCAUGAUGUGGUUUUAAUUCUGUAGUCUACUUUUUAACUUAAUAUUGGAAGCAUUUCCAUGCUCCUGUAUGGUCUUCCUAAUUAUCGUUUUAAUGGCUGCAUAAUAUUCCACUGAACACAUACACCAAGUUUCACUUAACUGUUUCCUUUCCAUUGAAACGUUCCAGUCUUUCCCUGUUGCAAAGUGCUGUGGUAAACAAGCAGCGGUUUUUACCUCUUUCUCACUCCUUCUGUUCACUUUCUAAGAGAGAACUUCACUACUCUUGGCUGUAGCUCUCUUGCCUAGAGCAGUAAUUUCCCCCUAUGUGGAGACAGAAAUCAUCUUAUUGGACACCAGGAUUUUGGGGGGAAAAAAGCUUAAUUCCUAAAAAUUAGCUAAAAAACAGCUAAGCAUUGCUAAAAAUAAUAAAAUGGUCCUAAGGACAUUUUUUGCUAUUUUUAUACUUUCAAAACGUGUAAAUGCUACAUCUCUUUGUUCACAAG